rnacentral:tRNA from 1 species
AAAAUUUUAAGUUAAAAAAACUUUUAAUAUUCAAAAUUAAUAAUAUAUUAAAUAUAUAAAUUUUA